UACGGAGGGAGCUAGCGUUAUUCGGAAUUACUGGGCGUAAAGCGCACGUAGGCGGCUUUGUAAGUAAGAGGUGAAAGCCCAGAGCUCAACUCUGGAAUUGCCUUUUAGACUGCAUCGCUUGAAUCAUGGAGAGGUCAGUGGAAUUCCGAGUGUAGAGGUGAAAUUCGUAGAUAUUCGGAAGAACACCAGUGGCGAAGGCGGCUGACUGGACAUGUAUUGACGCUGAGGUGCGAAAGCGUGGGGAGCAAAC
rnacentral:rRNA from 3 species